AGAUGAUUUGCAUAUACCAUCACCAAACUGCCCCAAACCUACUACUUUAAAAUAUUCCAUUGCUGUUUGGUACAACGUUCAAUAGAAGAACAGAUGCAAAAUUAACAUUUCCUGCAUUGUCAAACUGAUCAAAGAUGCAGCUCAGAAGAGAGAGGAAACGCACGGUCAGGUGACGUUUCCUGUAUGUGUCUAUAAAUAGCCGUGUGAGAAGGUUUACAUGGCGUUCAGCUGAGAUAUCUGUACAAUUUCUGUCGUCUGCUUGGCUCAGGUGUAAGAAAGGGACUGCGCAGAGCAGCUGACAACAAAAUACGUCUGCUCUCGAGUUUGAAAAAUACAUAGCUUGUUCCUGCUAAAUUAACUGGUGCUGAUGAGAGCUUGCCAUUCACUGAGCUGGGGGAAGGCCACCGAAUCCCUGCCGACACAGGAAUAACAUUGAAAUGACCCAUUCUCCUCCCGAUGCUGCUUCUCAGCAGGUGAAAACUCCAAGCGAGAAAUCCCCCCCACCAAAGAGCUGGCUAUGGUGCACAGAGACCUCCCACGCACAACAUAAGAUACCGGCUUAUUUUUUCAUUAGGAGAGAAUGGUCCCUGCUGGUCUGAACUUAACCUUGCAAGUAUUUGGCAGCAGUGCGAUACAUGCGGACCAGUGCCUGGCUGCGGCUCAUGUCAGCCACAGGGACCGAGCAGAGACCCUUUCACGCAUCUCCUGGAUUGUCCAAGACAGACCAACAUAAUACAGGGUUCCCAGGAGUUACCAGAAUGCCAUUUAUACCAGAAAAAUAUGAAUGAACAAUAAUGGAGAAGGAGCCGUUCCUGCAGAUCCUCCAGGAAGAUUUAAGGCAUGAUAGGACAUACAGAGAAACUCCCACUUCUGCAUUAAAAAGGAGGGGGUUGAUUUGUUGGCAGGGAAGCGGUGCCGGGAGAGCGGGAUACUUGUGCUGGGUGGUCAGGAGGCCUCUGUGGCCAUGGCCGCUGCUGUUGCCCUCGGUUGCGUUAACUGCUGUGCAGAAUCAGAAACAGCUGUUGUGGAGGAAGAAGGAAUGGAGCAUGGGGAAAACUACAGACUCAUCACGGGGGGCAGCUGGGCAUCAAAUGACUGACUUCAACAUGCAAACCUGUUCCUAGCUGGAAAAACUGAGGCAGAUCCUGAGCACAGCUUUAUGCCAGAGCAGGUUGCCCUAUGGGCUGGUGGUGCAGACUGGGACAGCGAGAAGUUCAGCCCCUGGACAAAACCAUGUGGCCCAGCACACUGUCCCAUUCUGCUGACUUCUCCGUAUGAGCAUCGUUCUUUCUGAUUUAUGCUACUUCUUAUCUGCCUGCCUUCCCCUUAUGUGUUUCUUCCUCCGCAGUUCUUAAUA
rnacentral:lncRNA from 1 species